UGCGCCGCGGGAACGCGCUCGCAGCCCCGCUCGACGGUCCCGGCAGCCCACUAGCGACCCCGCGCCCCGGCCCUGGGGCGGUGAGGUGGUCGGCAGGCCCAGACCCCCGAGAGCCCCGCCCCGACGCCUGCUUCGCCCCCAGGCCUCCCGUACCGCCAGCCGCGCUCACCCACGGACAUCCUCACGAGCUCACAGCGAGGUCUCGCAAAGCGUGACCUUCUGCCGGCAGAUUUCGGCGAGCGGGGGGGUACUUCCAGAGGCAGGCGGACACCUACACCCAGCCGGCGCUGCGCCGCCUCUUCCGCAGCUUCGACAGCAACCGUCGCUGGCGGAGAGGAUGGUGCUCAAGGGCAAGCAGGCUGAAUUGGAACAACAGGGAAUCCGCUCUUCACUCCGGGUGAAGUUCUUCUGUGCUGUCCAGGGGGAGCUAAAUCAUUGCAACAGCAUGGGUGCCCUGGAGAGCGGGUGGAACAGCUGAAGCGGAGUAUCCACCGCGUGCACCUCUACUCCUGGAGUGAGGCUCAAUCUCUGCCGGUGCUGGGCCCUGUGGGUUUCUGAGUCCAGUGCAGCCAGUCGGAGGGCCAGGUGACCACCUCCACUCUUCCCGUUGGAUUUGCCCUCCUUGAACCACGUUUUAUCCAGAGCGGGAAGGGGCCUGGGAAAUCUGAACCUGGGAGACGGAGAGGCGCUGCCCCUAGCUAGAUUCUUUAGUUAAGAGACUGACUUCAGCUCUGCUACUUCCUGGCUGUGUGAUCCUGAGCAAGGUGGGCCACCUUUUUGAGACAGAGAGCCCUCAUUGCUCACCUUGGUGAGUGUUUGGAGUGUGGAUGAAGGCCUGCAGGUAGGGCCUGGCUCAAGCAACCCAGAAAACGCAACUCAAAAAAAAAAACUGAGACAGUCCUGGCACUGACCAACCAUGUCCUUGGUGUGGCCCUGUGGUUUGUCUCUGCCCCUAUGUUUGGCACUUAAAAAAAAAGCAACAUUGGGCCGGGCACGGUGGCUCACGCCUGUAAUCCCAGCACUUUGGGAGGCCGAGGCAGGUGGAUCACGAGGUCAAGAGAUCGAGACCAUCCUGGUCAACAUGGUGAAACCCCGUCUCUACUAAAAAUACAAAAAAUUAGCUGGGCACGGUGGCGCAUGCCUGUAAUUCCAGCUACUCAGGAGGCUGAGGCAGGAGAAUUGCCUGAACCCAGGAGGCGGAGUUUGCGGUGAGCGGAGAUCGUGCCAUUCCACUCCAGCCUGGGUAACAAGCGAAACUCCGUCUCACAAAGAAAAAAAAAAAGAAAGAAAAUGCUGGUACUCUAGCUACUGCUAUUGCUGUAAUAAACUGUCCUUUGUGUCUGACCCAAGAGUGUCUUGUGUGGCUGGGAGCAGUGGCUCACGCCUGUAAACCCAGCACUUUGGGAGGCCAAGGCGGGUGCAUCAGUUGAGGUCAGGAGUUUGAGACCAGCCUGGCCAACAUAGUCAAACUCUGUCUCUACUAAAAAUACAAAAGUUAGCCAGGUGUGGUGGCAGGAGCCUGUAAUUCCAGCUACUCAGGAGGCUGAAGCAAGAUAAUCUUUUGAAUCCAGGAGGUGGAGGUUGCAGUGAGCCGAGAUCGCACCAUUGCACUCCAGCUUGGGUAACAAGAGCCAAACUCCGUCUCAAAAAAAAAGCAACAACAACACUUACCGGGUGCGGUGGCUCACACCUGUAAUCCCAGCACUUGGGGAAGCGGAAGUAAGAGAUCUCUUGAGCCUAGGAGUUGGAGGCCAGCCUGGGCAACAUAGCAAGACCCCAUCUCUACAAAAAUUUUUUUAAAGCUAGCCAGGUGUGGUGGCCCAUGCCUGUAGUCCUGGCUACUUGGGAGGCUGAGGCAGGAGGAUGGCUUGAGCCCAGGAAUUUGAAUUCAUGGUGAGCUAUGAUCACACCAGUGUGCUCCAGCCUGGGCGACAGAGUGAGACCCUGUCUCUGUAAAGUGACAGCAACUACAAAAACAAACAUUUGCUGACAUAAUCACAAUGUCACUGAUACACUUGACAUAAUUGACAACGGUUCUCUGACAUCAGCUGGUCAUAGUCACCUCUCCUAGAUGGGCCACAAAAGUGUUUCUAGACUUGGUCUGUCACCUCAGGACCCAGUGAGACCCACACAUUCAUUAUGUUUCACUGUUAGGCCUCAGGUUCCUUUUAGCUAGGAUGAUCGUAUAAUUGGUGUCUAAAUUGGGCCACUCGUGAGGAUGAAAUGAAAGGGGGCCAUAUAUAUGGCCACACAGGGACAGCAAGUAUAUACUGGAUGGCCCUGGGUCCUUGGCGACUUCUGUUGAUGUCCCCUUUGAGGAGGGAUAGCCUGUCUGGUGUCGUCCUCUGUCCUGCUCCACUUUCCGAGUUUGCGGCUAUUACAAUUUGGUAGUGCUUCCUCCUCUGCCUGUAUUUCUUGGACAGUUGCUCUAAAGCUCGAUUGGAUUCAGGCUCAGUUCCUUCAGUAUAUUUGUGUUCGUGGAUGACGACACUAGUGUGGGGCUACUCACUUCUGCGUCACAUGGGGAGGCCCAGCUUGCCUGGGUGUCCCACUUUCUGGGGUGCUGAGAGUGAGCCCUCCCUCCACUGAUGGUUGGACAACAGCACCUGUAGUCCCCUAAGGUAGCUUUGAUGUUAUUUACCCCUGUAAAUAACAGAAAAGGAAAUAGAGGCACAAGGAGGUUAGCCAACCUGUGCAUGCUCACAGUAGUUGAGCCUGAACUUGAACUCAGGUCUAGGUUGCUCUGGUCUCCAGGCCAGGCAGGGUGGUGGCUAUCAUCAUAGAUGAGCUGUUCUGAUGGGCCAUAUUAGGAGCUUGUUAACAUGCACUUUGCUGGUAGCCUCCAACUUUUGAAGGGUAGAAAUAGCCAGACUGAAUACAGGAGGAAGACGUGACAUAGAGGUCAGGGUCUGCUCCCGGGCUCCCGCCCCUCAAAGAUCCCCUCCCUGAGCCCACCUCUGUAGGAUUCCUCAAUGUGUGUGUCCUCAUGGAGGAGGUGCCCUUUUCCACACCCCCAGGAUGACCCUGUGGUGGGGUGUGGUCGGUGGGCUCACUGUUCCAGUCCUGGAUACUGUGCACCGGUGUUGGCCAACUCCACAGCUUUUCACCAUGCUUCGGGGGUGGGCUGAAGACUGACCUGCCUGGACCAAGCCCACCCCUCCUUGGCAUCCCAUCACUUCCUGUGAAAUUCUCCCGUUGAAGUCAGACAGCCUGGCAUGGAUCCUGCCUGUGGCUUGGACAGCCGGAGCCUCUAGGUCCACUUACACCAAGAAGAGGGGAAGGAAGCCAACAAAGAAGAAAGCAGAACCCAUCUAACAGGAUCAGUUGAUCUGCCUGUGCCUGCCACCAACCCUGCUGCCACUUCCACCACUGCCACCACCGUGGGCUCCGUGGCGACCCUGUCACCCCCUGUCUACACUCUGCUGAGAGUCUUUGGCCUCCUCCCUCUGCUGCCUGCACGUCAGUCAGUUGAGAAUUUGGACAUUUCAAGAUCUGAAGUGAAAUUAAACAGGAAUGGCCUGUCAUCAAACCCAAAGAGAUGGAAGGAAUUUACUCUGGACUUGAAAGAAAUGAAAAAGCAUUUUGGGAAUGUCCUGUGUGCCAUGUUUGGCCACAAUUUCUUCUCCAACCAUCCUGACCGCAUAGUUGAUCUGACUCUCUUGGUUGUCAACUCCGGAAGCUUCCAUUUCUCAUAUGUGGCUGGAAUCAGUAUGUUCAAGCUCCAUUGCCCCAACUUCCCCUGUUGAGACAGGGUUUCACCAUGUUGGCCAGGAUGGUCUUGAACUCCUGUCCUCAAGUAAUCCACCUGUCUCAGCCUUCCAAAGUGCUGAGAUUACAAGUAUAUGCCACCAUGCCCUGCCUUAAUUGGUUUUCAAAAGCCUACAAAUGGAGACCAUGUUCCAUGAAGAAAAGUUCGCAAUACAGAAGUGAAUAUGUAAAAUGCAGGUCAUGCAUGUCUCCUCUGCAAGACCUCGGCCUGUAGUGAUUCCCCUAACACUGAUGCGACACCAGACUCUGCUGUGAAGGCCUCCAUCUUCUCCCCACCUGUCUUACUCAAGUUCCAGCCUGUUCCCAGACCCCAAGUUGAUUCAGAGAAUGACUCUGGCAAUGAAGAGUCUGUGCCCCAUGAAAGGAACCCAUAACCUCUUUCCUACAGACCAUAGCUAGAGGAAUAAAUCAAGUUCCUGUGGAGGUGCUAUCCGUGUGCUGGCUUCCUAGGUGUUGUGCUGUCCUAUCAACUCCCUCCGGCCCAAAGAGGGGGUCAGGGUAUUAUGGGUCUGAGCCUGCAUAUAUUAGGUGGUUGGGUUAGCACCACCAUGGUCCCCUCACUUGCACACUACCAUGACAGUCCCAUCAAGUGCACUUUGAGGCCGAGUGUGCUGGCUCAUGCCUGUAAGCCCAGCACUUUGGGAGGCUGAGACAGACAGAUCACUUGUUUCCCAGGCUGUAGUGCAGUGGCUAUUCACAGGCAAGAUCCUACUACUGAUUAGCACGGGAGUUUUGAGCUGCUGCUUUUUUUUUUUUUUUUUUUUUGAGACAAAGUCUCAUUCUGUCGCUGAGGCUGGAGUGCAGUGGCAUGAUAUCAGUGGCUGCAACCUCUGUUUCUCAGAUUCAGGCAUUUCUCUUGCCUCAGCCUCCCCAGUAGCUGGGAUAAUAAUGCCUAGCUAAUUUUUGUAUUUUUAGUAGAGAUGGGGUUUCACCAUAUUGGCCGGGCUGGUCUCGAACUCCUGAUCUCAGGUGACCUGCCUGCCUCGGCUUUCCAAAUUAUUGGGAUUACAGCCAUGAGCCACUGUGCCUGGCAAACCUGCUCUUUUUUCUUUUUUUUUUGAGACAGAGUCUUGCUCUCUCACCCAGGCUGGAGUGCAGUGACACAAUCUCGGCUCACUGCAGCCUCCGUCUCCCAGGUUCAAGCGAUUCUCCUGCCUCAGCCUCUCGAGUAGCUGGGACUACAGGCAGGCAAAUGCCAACAUGCCCAGCUAAUUUUCUGUGUUUUUAGUAGAGAUGGUGUUUCACUGUGUUAGCCAGGCUGGUCUCAAUCUCCUGACCUUGUGAUCUACCCACUUCGGCCUCCUAAAGUGCUGGGAUUACAGGCAUGAGCCACCAUACCUGGCCAAGCUGCUCCUACUCUAACCUGAGCCAGUUCACCCCUCCUUAGAAAAGCUGGUGGUUUCCUGCUUCCAAGAAAUCACCAAUAUAUGCCAAAUUUAGCACAGACAUCUGAUCAGCAUUGCACACUACAAUCCAGAAGUCCUGGAUCCAAGCAAUCCUCCUGCCUCAGCCUCCCAAGUAGCUGGGACUAUAGGUGGGUGCCCAGCAGUCCUAUAUUUCCAAGGAACCCUGGAGCCCUAAAGAAUCCAGUUUAAGGGCUGGGCGUGGUGGCCGAGGCGGGUGGAUCACAAGGUCAAGAGAUUGAGACCAUCCUGGUCAACAUGGU